AUACAGAGGGUGCAAGCGUUAAUCGGAAUUACUGGGCGUAAAGCGCACGUAGGCGGCUAAGUAAGUCAGAUGUGAAAGCCCUGAGCUCAACUUGGGAACUGCAUUUGAAACUGCCUGACUUGAGUGUGAUAGAGGAUAGUGGAAUUUCCGGUGUAGCGGUGAAAUGCGUAGAGAUCGGAAGGAACACCAGUGGCGAAGGCGGCUAUCUGGAUCAACACUGACGCUGAGGUACGAAAGCGUGGGGAGCAAACAGGAUUAGAAACCCGUGUAGUCC
rnacentral:rRNA from 1 species